UACGAAGGGGGCUAGCGUUGCUCGGAAUCACUGGGCUUAAAGGGCGCGUAGGCGGGUUCCCAAGUCGGUGGUGAAAUCUUUCGGCCCAACCGGAAAACAGCCGCCGAUACUGGGAGUCUUGAGGGAGGUAGGGGUCGAUGGAACUUCCGGUGGAGCGGUGAAAUGCGUAGAUAUCGGAAGGAACGCCGGUGGCGAAAGCGAUCGACUGGACCUUUUCUGACGCUGAGGCGCGAAAGCCAGGGGAGCAAACGGG
rnacentral:rRNA from 1 species